UUCGCAAUGCCCGAAAGGGUGACGAAGCGACGCCGCGUGGGUGAGGAAGGCCUUCGGGUUGUAAAGCCCUGUCAGGAGUUAAGAAAUGUAGACUCGCUAAUAUCGGGUCUAUUUGACAAAGGCUCCAAAGGAAGCCACGGCUAACUCUGUGCCAGCAGCCGCGGUAAUACAGAGGUGGCAAGCGUUGUUCGGAAUUAUUGGGCGUAAAGAGCACGUAGGUGGAUUUGUAAGUCAGACGCGAAAGCCUUCUGUUCAACGGAAGAAUUGCAUCUGAAACUACAAACCUUGAGUGUAGGAGGGGAGAAUGGAACUUCUGGUGGAGCGGUGAAAUGCGUAGAUAUCAGAAGGAACGCCGGCGGCGAAAGCGAUUCUCUGGCCUAUUACUGACACUCAGUGUGCGAAAGCUAGGGGAGCAAACGGGAUUAGAUACCCCGGUAGUCCUAGCCGUAAACGAUGGGCACUAAGUAGAGGGGUUUU
rnacentral:rRNA from 2 species